AGCGAACGCUGGCGGCAGGCUUAACACAUGCAAGUCGAACGGGCAUCUUCGGAUGUCAGUGGCAGACGGGUGAGUAACACGUGGGAACGUACCCUUCGGUUCGGAAUAACUCAGGGAAACUUGAGCUAAUACCGGAUACGCCCUUCUGGGGAAAGGUUUACUGCCGAAGGAUCGGCCCGCGUCUGAUUAGCUUGUUGGUUGGGUAACGGCCUACCAAGGCGACGAUCAGUAGCUGGUCUGAGAGGAUGAUCAGCCACACUGGGACUGAGACACGGCCCAGACUCCUACGGGAGGCAGCAGUGGGGAAUAUUGGACAAUGGGCGCAAGCCUGAUCCAGCCAUGCCGCGUGAGUGAUGAAGGCCUUAGGGUUGUAAAGCUCUUUUGUCCGGGACGAUAAUGACGGUACCGGAAGAAUAAGCCCCGGCUAACUUCGUG
rnacentral:rRNA from 1 species